GGAUGGGUGGCCGAGCGGUUGAAGGCACCGGUCUUGAAAACCGGCAAGGGCGCAAGUCCUUCGUGGGUUCGAAUCCCACUCCAUCCGCCA
rnacentral:tRNA from 1 species